ensembl:snRNA U6 U6 spliceosomal RNA
GUACUUCAAUAGCAUGUACACAUAAGACUGGAACAAUACAGUGGAGAUGAGUAUGGCCACUAUGCAAGGAUAACACACAUAUUUAUGAAGUGAUCCACAGAACA